UCCCUGGUGGUCCAGUGGCUACGACUUGGCACUCCCAAUGCAGGGGGCCUGGGUUCAAUCCCUGGUCAAGGAA
rnacentral:tRNA from 1 species